UCUUUAACUGAGGAUUGAACCGUUGGUGUAUUCGUUUCUUACCCAUGUGUUUUAGACUUUGUAAUAUAAAUUUGAAGCAGAAAAGUAUCACAAGUCACCCUAUUUGAUGAUCUUUCGUGGUCAUCUAAACAUCUCGAAUAAUUUUCUCGUCAAAGUGCGUCCGUUACGUCUCUUGAAGUGUGCUCUGGUAGACAGGAGGCGCCGGGAACACGGGUUGCAUAAACACUACCAUAAUAAAGACGUCGUGGUUUAUGGUAUAAUUAUGUUAAUUCGCUAAUAAACAGCUCGAGCGACUCGCGCCUUGGCUGAUGUACCGCAUGCGCCUCGUUUUGUUCUCUCGGUAGUGGAUAACCAGCCUCGUUGGCCUGCACAGAAUGAAAUAAAUCGCUGCGCGAGUUCCCGAGAUACCUCGCGUUUCGCGGACACGGAUACAAGCAGGUCGAGCAUCUUGGCAACCGACUGGCCGGUGAUUGAAAGUGAAGAUGGAUUAAGGGCGAUAGGAUAAGCUCCAUUUCCUCCAGCGGCGUCAUCCUAAGAACUGGUCGGAUAGCUCAUCGGCCGAUCAAUUGACCCGGAAAUCGCUGGAUUCUUGGCCGCUUCGUGCCCGUUUACGAAAUAAUCGUGGCGACUGAUAGUCGACUGGCGAAUCAUUUCAAGAAAUGUCUGGCUUAGUCCCACCUACGAUAGAAAUGAGAAGGUGUGGUGAUCCUCGAUUAUCUCAAGAACCACUGGAUCGAUUUGGAUGGGACUGCUUAGAAUCUCUAGUAUUAGAGACUACGUUUCGAAACUCUAUUUUAUAAGGGUUGAAAAGAGAAUAACAGUUACGCCCAUUCUAUCCGGAAAAGCGUUCACAAGCUAAUUUAUUAGAGAUAUAUCUGAGACAAUACACGUUGACUAAUUUGUUACGUAAUAUUUUAUAAUAACAAUCUAUAGUCGGCUAGUCUUUCAAAUCACUUAUGGAAAUGUCUGACUCGGUCUCAUACACUUUCACUAGAUGUUCUGCAUGUUAUCUGCAUGAUUUCGAAACACUGGUGGCUAUAUAGCUAUAUAUAAGCUUGUAGCGGUAUUGCCAGCACAUUCAUGUUGACAAACAUUGUAAUUGAACAUAACGUAAGUACCCGGCAUACUUGCCGAGGGAGAGGAAUAGUUCGGAUAACUUUUACCUUCAAUAUCUUCCUAACGAACAAGUUUAGGGCGUAAGCAUGUUAGUACUUUUAUGUAAAGAACAAGAAACUGCAUCGAUCUGUGUCAUCAAAAAUAUAGGUUUCCAUUAAAAAAAAAA